rnacentral:rRNA from 1 species
GAUGAACGCUAGCGGGAGGCUUAACACAUGCAAGUCGAGGGGCAGCAUUAUCGCUUGCGAUAGAUGGCGACCGGCGAACGGGUGCGUAACGCGUAUGCAACCUACCCUUUACUGAAGAAUAGCCCAGAGAAAUUUGGAUUAAUACUUCAUGGUAUUACAGAUUCGCAUGUUUCUGUAAUUAAAGUUUUAACGGUAAAGGAUGGGCAUGCGUGACAUUAGUUUGUUGGUGAGGUAAUGGCUCACCAAGACUACGAUGUCUAGGGGGUCUGAGAGGAUGAUCCCCCACACUGGUACUGAGACACGGACCAG